rnacentral:rRNA from 1 species
ACUGAAUAGAUACCCCGGUAGUCCCAGCCGUAAACGAUGCUCGCUAGGUGUCAGGCAUGGCGCGACCGUGUCUGGUGCCGCAGGGAAGCCGUGAAGCGAGCCACCUGGGAAGUACGGCCGCAAGGCUGAAACUUAAAGGAAUUGGCGGGGGAGCACAACAACGGGUGGAGCCUGCGGUUUAAUUGGACUCAACGCCGGACAACUCACCGGGGGCGACAGCAAUAUGUAGGCCAGGCUGAAGACCUUGCCUGAAUCGCUGAGAGGAGGUGCAUGGCCGUCGCCAGUUCGUACUGUGAAGCAUCCUGUUAAGUCAGGCAACGAGCGAGACCCGUGCCCACUGUUACCAGCAUGUCCUCCGGGACGAUGGGUACUCUGUGGGGACCGCCGAUGUUAAAUCGGAGGAAGGUGCGGGCCACGGUAGGUCAGUAUGCCCCGAAUCUCCCGGGCUACACGCGGGCUACAAUGGAUGGGACAAUGGGUCCCUCCCCUGAAAAGGGCUGGUAAUCUCACAAACCCAUUCGUAGUUCGGAUCGAGGGCUGUAAC